GCAGUUAGUUUUGGGGCUGGAAAUUUGAGCAGAGAGAAUGGCAGAGUCUUUUCAGGAGCCAGAAAUGCAUGUGAGGACCAAGAACUUCUAACAGUAGAGGAACUCUGGCUGGGGUAGUUGAGGGGGAGGAGAAAUGAGGAUCAAGGGGGCAUACAGUGCAUGAAAACAAAAGGUGAGGCCCAAGAUCAGCCAAAGUGAGUAAACCACGGUUACCAUGGCUACUCUUCAGUGGAGACGGAAGGAAGCCCUGUAUCCUCCCCUUCCAACCACACUACGCUGUUCCACUCCCCAUCUCCAUCUCCUGUACCCCAGACACACUCAGGCAAGCACAGCACCACCCUGGAUGACUCUGCGGAAUGCCUCUCAGAGACACGGAACUAGAAACCUAGGGGAAGAGGGACAUCAAGGCUUUUGCCUCACAAGCUGACUCUGGAACAAAGAGCCAGGCUGAGGGGCUGGAAGAAGAAACUUCCAGCAGAGCCACCCAGAUAUGCUUCCCCCACCCUCUAGACCUUCCACACCAACCAGUGUCCAGUCAGUCCACAGAGCAUCCUCCUGGGCUGUGGUGACUGAAGUUGAAGGGAAGAAAAUAUAAUAAUAAUUUUGGGCAGGUCGUCUUUCUUUACUGUAUUGGAUGGAUAUAGAAUCAAUAAAUCUAUAGGUUUAUCCCAUUUUUCUGAACAAAUUUAGAGGUCAAAGAUGAACCCUCAAGGGGACAGAAUAUGACCAGCAGGACUAUUGAUAUCGUCUGCCCUAGGCACUCCUCCUUACCCUCCUCUCCCCUAUAUUUUGGGGGCAGUCAUAUUCCUCAGCAGUCAGUUGCUCUGCCUCCAGUCCUAACUGGCUUCUGAAAAACAGUUCUGGUCCAUUCAUUCCCUGUCUCGAGACUUCCGGAGCUUCCUGACCUGUGAAUGAAAUCCACAGGCCCAUCACAAGAUGGCUGCGCUCUCCAGUCCCCGGCACCCCAGGCUGCUCUGAACAUGUGAGAGCUCCUCCCUCAAGGCCUGAAUUUUCGCAGGUCUUCAUCACACUCAGCCCGCCAUCAUUUUUUCAGAUUCAGUUCCAAUAUGUCACUCUGUCUGUAGAGCCUUCCCUGAAUCUCACAGACAAAUGCGGCAGUUCCCUUUGUGGGGGAUAUUCAUCAUGUUUUUCCUCAUUGGCCUAUGUUUUUGCCUCUUCUUGUAGAUGUCCAUCUAGGCUGGGAGCUCCUAGGGGGUAAACGCAGCCUCUCACUCACCUGGCACAGAGUCGAUGCUCAUGGAAUGAUACGUGAUGGGGAGAGUGAGUAAGUGAAUGAAUGAAUGAAUGCUAUUCUGGAAGGAAGAGGGAGAGAGGGAGCAGGGAAAGGUCAGAAGGGGGCCCAGAGUCUUCAGCACACAAUGUGGGUGUAUCACUGUGGCCAGGAACAAUUCGCUUCUCUGCCUGCAUUACUUUUUGGGAAAUGGGAGAGCUGAGGCUCAGUGUAGGCAAACUGGGUCCAGUCAGCAGGGAAGCCAUGAGCUCCACGGUUUAGGGGAGGAGUCCGGUGCUUAAGGAAGCUAUCACGUGGAAGAUCUCCCUGCCCUCCUCCUAUUGGUCUGUAUUGGUUUUUCUUCUUCACCAGUGGAGGCUUUUCUUCUCCCAGGAAGAAUCCAGAAUAGUUCAGACAAGCUUCAGGUCCGCCAGAACCGGGGAAAACAACGUGUAGGGUUUGUUUUAAAGGGCUUUUAAAUGGGGUUUGGGAGAUCCAGGUAGAUUAGAAUCUUGACUCUGCACUGGCUGUGCAAGACAGAAAUUCACCUUUCAAAACUUCUGUUCCCCAGUCUAUGCGGUAAGAAGUUUAGAUUAGCUGAUUUCUAGGGAGAUUUUGGGCAGGCAUGAUUCAGUUCCAUGAAGGGCUGUGGGACAGGACUGCACUAAGAGGUCCUAUAGAUUGGAUUCUUCAGUUCCCUCCCUUCCGCUGGAGAAUAGAGGAAUCUGCCUUCGCUGCACACUAGAUUUACCUGGAGAACAAAUGGAAAGCAGGCCAGGAUCCUGGGUGAAAUGUGGCACAUUUGAGGAGACUUCAACUUCCCUUGCCCUCCAGUGUGGUCUUUUCCCCACCCCCAGACAUGAAAGGGAAGCAGGUCACAAAGCCUUUCGGAUUAUAAAAGAAACACUUGCUUCUCACAAGGGGAGCAGCAGACUUACUCUGUACUAAAUGCCAGGAUAAGCCUCUGGCUGGGCCUCGACUGUGACCCUCCGGCCUCUUUCUACAGCUCUGCCUGGAUGGACUGGCCUAUCUCUGCUGGAUUCCCGAAGUGCAUUGUGUAGAGACAGCAACUCAGAGGUGGGACCAGCUGCCAGGCCCUUUCUCCAUUGGUUGAGUUCAGCAGGUAACCUGAAGCUUUGCUGAGAGGUGCAUAAAUAAAGAGUGAAACUAGUACCACCUCCUUGAAAUGGGCUGAGUCCCUCUUGCUCACCCUUGACUUGGAAAAACCAGUUUCUCUUUUAUUGUCUGUUACUAAUCUCUAUUCUAAAAAUUCAGCUCAAUUCUCAACCAUACUCCAAACUCUCUCUUUUCCAGCUACCUUUACUCCCUCUCCUUCAAUUCCACUUUCCUCUGCUUACUUUUUUUUUUUUUCUGACAGGGUCUCACUUUGUCGCCCGGGCAGGAGUGCAGUGGCUCAAUCUUGGGCUCACUGCAGCCUCAACCUCCCAGAGGCGGGGUUUCACCAUGUUGCCCAGACUGGUCUUGAACUCCUGAGCUUAAGCAAUCCACCUGCCUCGGCCUCCCAAAGUGUUGGGAUCACAGGCGUGAGCCACCGCAUCCGGCCUCAUGUUCUUUUUCAUUAAAGAGAGAAAUCAACUAUUCAGGACCGGCCCCCACCUUUCCUCAGGAGUCAUUUCUGUUCCGCACAGGCCUGCUGAACUGGGUGCUUUAUAUAGGACACUGUCAUCUCUCAAGUACCCAUCUUGGAGGGUACGGACCCCACAUGAGGAAAGGACCAACCACACCGAGCUCAGUUAUGGCACACACAGUGGGACCUAGACAAAGGGAGAGGGUGACCGACAUCCCAACUAGAUUUCAGUGGAGUGAAGUUCAGGAGGCAUGGAGCUGACAACCAUGAGGCCUCGGCAGCCACCGCCACCACCGCCGCCGCCACCACCGUAGCAGCAGCAGCAGCAGCAGCAGCAGCAGCAGCAGCAGCAAGAGUAACUCUGACUUAGGAAUAGAGACAGCCAGAGAGAAAUGUGAUCAAUGAAGGAGACAUCUGGAGUGGUCCCCAGGCAGGUGGCUGGGACACUAUUUGCAAUCAGCAAGGAACCCUGCUGCCCUUAGACUCCCCACAGAGCAAGCAGAACUUGCAGAAUGGGGUAAAAACACUCUAUUAAAGAUUUUUUAAACCUAUUUAUAUUGUAAUAAAGUAAAUGUAAAUAAAAUUUAAGUGAAGGCAGAUUGCAGAUAUUUCCGAUGCUAUACAAGAUAUAUCUCAUAGUAUGGGUGUAGAUUCUGCAAAGGUUAAUGCAGUUAAACAUAUUUGACACAUAAAAAUGUCAGAUCCAACAUUAAUCAUUCACCAAUUGUAAUUGCCUUUCUAUGGGUCUCUUCUCCCCAAGACAUAGCUUAAAACACCAGGCUCGGUAGAAAUCUGGGAGGAAAAAAGCAAAUAAUACCUCUCAGCUGUCAGGGUCUAUGAUACGCUUUGAUAGAUUUAGCACUGAUUUCAUUCUCUUUACAAUUCAGUGUGAUUGGGUGUGCGUGUGUGUGUGUGUGUGUGUGUGUGUGUGUGUGUGUGUUACUCCAUGUUUCUCCUUUUUAAGGAAGGAGAAGGUGUGGAACAAGAGAAAGUUCCUAAGUCUGAAGGAAGUCCAACCCAGUUAUGAAGGGAAUGCCAUCCACAAGCCUUUUUUAUAAUUGGCCCCUGCCUCAGGUAAAGGGGUCUCCUUUAAGGAGCCAGUCUGGCUAAAUUGGCAGAUUCUGAACAAAGCCUGGCCCUGACAAGUCUUCAGAAAAACCGGUUUUCACCUCCAGAAUGUGCCCCAG
rnacentral:lncRNA from 1 species